GAUCAUGGCUCAGGAUGAACGCUAGCUACAGGCUUAACACAUGCAAGUCGAGGGGAAACGACAUCGAAAGCUUGCUUUUGAUGGGUCGUCGACCGGCGCACGGGUGAGUAACGCGUAUCCAACCUGCCCAUCACUUGGGAAGUAACCUUGCGAAAGUAAGACUAAUGCCCAAUGAUAUCCCACGAAGGCAUCCGAAUGGGAUUAAAGAUUUAUCGGUGAUGGAUGGGGAUGCGU
rnacentral:rRNA from 1 species